GUGAUGUAAUGUCAUCAGGAGAUAUGACAUCGGAGUACAAGGACAAACAAGGCGGAGGAGCUGGCCAGCCACUCACAAAGUCUGAAAACAACGAUGGAAAAAAGACGUUAACCAAUGGAAUGAGUCGAGUACAUCGAGUGUUAACUGAAGACGAAAUUGCCAGUGGGAGAUCAACACGGUGGACAGAACUUGAAAUACACGGUAAUCAUUUUUGAAAAUUGUUUCAAUUUUUAUUCGAGAUAUUUCCAGGUCGUGUGAAGAAUCUAUCACCGUCACUGUGGCAGUUGACACAUCUUUCAGCUCUUUUUCUUAACAACAAUGGACUGACACGGUUACCACCGGAGAUUGCUCAGGUAUCCGAUUAGUGUGGAAAUUAUCUCCGGCGGUGGCACUUAUUUUCAUCGAUUCUACAAAAUGAUCUAAACUUUGAUGCUCCAACAUUUUUCAUUCAAAAUUAGUGUCAAAAGAUAGAAAAUCAUUCAGUUUAUCUGAAAAUAAUAUUUAUUUCACCUGAAACAUUUAUGAAAAUGCUCAAGAAUUACCUGAAAGUGGCAAAUUACCGGAAAAAAAUUCGAUGAAUCGAUACGACCAUUUUGAUUAAUUUCCUGAAUGUUCCAGCAGAAAUUUUUUUUUUCAGAAAAAAAUUUUUUUUUUUAAAUAUUUUGACACUAAUUUCAAAUAAAAAUUGUUGGAGAACAUGGGGCAGUAGGACAUUUUGUAGAAUUGCAAAAAAAAAGAUUACCAAAAAACAAAUCAGCAUAAUAAAUAUUAUAUUCUUUUAUUCUUCAUCUAAAAUCUUCUUGAAAAAUCCAAUUUCAUACCAAAAACCCAUUUUUCAGUUGACAAAUCUGACAAUGCUCGACAUAUCGAACAACAAGCUCCGCUCACUUCCCACAGAACUUGGUGAUAUGAUCAGUCUUUGUCAUCUGUACCUGAACAAUAAUCAACUCCGUGUGCUGCCCUAUGAGCUGGGAAAGCUUUUCCGGAUUCAGACGCUCGGUCUGCAAGGAAAUCCUUUGUCGCCGGAAAUCAGCAAGAUCUAUCACGAGACCAACGGUGCGCAAAAGAUAUUGCAAUUUCUACUCGAUCACCUGACUA
rnacentral:sRNA from 1 species